UAUAAUCGACAAAGCUAAGAGGGUGAUCAAAGAGUCUGACGAUAUUUUCAAGUAUAUCGUCAUCGACAAGAAGCGGAAAUGUUUAACACCACUGGCAAGUUUGUUGCUUUCAAAGUAUUCCUUGUAUUACUGCUGGCGACUUCAACCUCAUACAGUAAGCCACAGCUGCGGCGAGAUAAAGCUGCUGAGCUAGGACGUUACAUGUGGGACGAAAAUGAAGAUUACAUUUCUUACAAGUUCCCUAGUGGGAUCAAGGAUGCCCAGGAUAGCGUUGAGCACUUGCCGCACUCGGAUCCCACAUGCCAACCAAAUUGUCAAUUCUUAACAACAAUUAUGAAUAAGUUCUCAAACAAUUCAGUGAGAACUCAAAUUUGUAAUACAGUGGGCCAGGGGUGUAAGUGUUACACCAAAGGGUUCGGAAAAAACUGCCUAAGAUGUAUACGCAAAGGACGAAAAAGAAAUUCAUAUCUAUUUUAAGGAACAAGAAACACUGGCGUUUAAGAGGGAUAUUUUAGAAUGUUUACUGUAAUUUCAAAUAGUUGUUAAAUUUGAACAAUAGGCUUAACUCCCCAGUCUGAAGCUAAAUGCUUUUUAUGAACAUACUACGAUUGAGAAAAUUUCAUUAAAGACGACAAAAAUAAAACUGAGUGAAA